rnacentral:lncRNA from 1 species
CUCAUAGGAGUGAAAAACAGCUCAUACGUAUGUUGUCUAAUCGAGCCAUGUAUCCAAAGGAACUCAGCAUAUAAUUAAAUCAAGAUGUGCAUGUGUGAUGGAGUAAAUGAUAGUGAUGGUGAAAAUGUAUAAGUGAUAAUAAAACUUACUUCUCAUUGCUCCUCAUAUUGCUAUCUCUCCUCCUCUUUGAUCUUUGCUUUGGGGGAACAUGGGCUAUCUCUUUUUCUUUUCCUUUUCUCUCUUUUUUUCAGGUGGGUAGUAGAUACCCCUAAUUCUACUGUCGGACACUUGUCCAUUUUUUCCGCUCAUGUGGGCAUCUUUGUACCCCUAAUUCUACUACGGACACUUGUCCAUUUUUACCUCUCAUCUCACUCUUUUUCUUUCUUUUUCGAGGUUCCGAGCACUUGCCCCUUUUUAUUUCCUCGUAUAUUUUUGCAUAACCCAUGCCUCUUCUGCAUUGAAUCUUUUUAGGGAGAGAGAAUAACAAUAUUCAGGACAGUGAGUGAUAAUAUUUUUAGCAAUUUUAAUGAUUGGUGAUGAAUGCUAUGGUAGAUGUGUGCAAGUGAAUAUGUUAAUUUAACCACAUGAAAAGCUCCUAAGGGUCAACACAGCUCGAUCAAACUCAAUGUAAAGAUGUUAUAGCAAGUAUGGCUGUGAUAGGUAGUUUUGUAUACUAGGAACUCAUCAUGUGAUUUGUAAGUUUCAAAAUAAAUCUCCAGAACUUAGUGUAGUAGGAACAAGAUAAACAGCAGCUCAACUUUAUAUCAUGCCUUUCUCUUACCUAGAGUUUAGUUUUAUGCUUCCCAAAGAUAGUAAAUUCAGUUUUAAUAAUUCCUGGA